rnacentral:rRNA from 1 species
GUUAUACUCAAAUGAAUUGACGGGGGCCCGCACUAGCGGUGAAGCAUGUGGUCUAAUUAGAAGCAACGCGCAGAACUUUACCUGGCCCUUGACAUCCUACGAACCUUUCAGAGAUGAGAGAGUGCCUUCGGGAACGCAGGGACAGGUGCUGUAUGGCUGUCGUCAACUCGUGUCGUGAGACGUUGGGUUAAGUCCCGUAACGAGCGCAAUCCUUGUCCUUAGUCACCAGCACCUCGGGUGAACACUCUAAGGAGAUUGUUGGUGACAAACCGGAGGAAGGUGGGGAUGACGUCAAGUCAUCAUGGCGCUUACGGCCAGGGCUACACACGUGCUACGAUGGUCGGUACAGAGAGUUGCCAAGCCGCGAGGUGGAGCUAAUCCCAGAAAACCGAUCGUAGUCCGGAUCGCAGUCUGCAACUCGACUGCGUGAAGUCGGAAUCGCUAGUGAUCGCGAAUCAGAAUGUCGCGGUGAAUACGUUCCCG